AUGAAUAUUGUCGAAUUCCGUCGUAUAAUCCCGGGAAUAUGGCUCGGGAGUUUCUACCAAGCUACCGUAAAUAGCUUGACUACGAGGGAAGUGGAUGGAGAG
rfam:Geobacillus sp. BCO2 LR69_contig000042, whole genome shotgun sequence.